UAAUUCGACAGCAGAAUUUGCCACGAAAACACAACUUCUUGUUUCAACAUUUAAAAAGAAAAUGAUUUGUGACUUUUUAUUGAAAACCGUGCUAUGCGUCGCGAUUUUCUUUAUACGUAUGGCGUUAGGGCAGGUUCCGCCCUUGAAACCACUUUCGGUUCACGUACUAGACACCAAUUUAGGAGGGAAUGCUCCAAAUGUGACAUGCAAACUUUAUAGGAAAGUCCCGACGAUUUCCUCAAAUGCCGAAGAGAAAUUUAAUCUUCUCGCUACUGCGGUUACUGACGCAAAUGGAAGAAUCAGUCAAUUUCUAUCGGCAGAAGAUUACGCACCUGGCGUUUAUCGCAUCUGGUUCGGAAUCGGUGACUACUAUCAGCAUUCUUACGGAUUAUCGACAUUCUUUCCCCAAACUCAAAUUACUUACGAGAACAAAGACGGCAGUGCAUCUCACGUUCCAUUGGUUGUAAGCCCUUAUGCAAUUAGUACUUACAGGGGAUCUUAAACUUAACUUCCUUUGUGAUUUGGGAAAUAAAAUUUGUAUUUUUAUUUU